rnacentral:misc_RNA from 1 species
CAUGAGUUAUGGGCUCGGUGCUUUUGCAUCGACUACUAGACUACAUCCUUUUCAAGGCUCGAGCGUUGUUUUCCCUGCUUGAUGGACGAAUGUGUUCCUGUGUUGGAUACCCAUGUCGGGGGAACUAGGCUUCACAUCUUCGUAGUCCUCUUGAUGCCUCUUAUGGGCAUCGAGUGGAGCUCGUAGUUUGAUCUUUCAAACCUAGCAUGCCUAUUUGGUUGCGAUGGUUGUUCGAUCAAAGCUUGUGUUCUCGGAUGCAGAAUAUUCAAUGGGGCCAGGGAUUGUAUCCUUGCCUAUGCCCUGGGUGGGAAAUUGUCCCUUUAUAAAAACGAAGUUCCCUGUUUUCCCGAAUCCUCCCAAGCUCCCUCCAACUGGAAAAGCUUCCUGGAAGCAUCCACCUCCUCCAAGGAAUGGUACCUGGUUGAACCUGCCCAUAAUCAUAUGCUUGUCUCAAAAAUUAAACCCUGGCUGGGG